rnacentral:rRNA from 1 species
AUUCCAGCUCCAAUAGCGUAUACUAAAGUUGUUGCAGUUAAAAAGCUCGUAGUUGAAUUUCUGGUCUCGGGCUUCGGUCUGCCUCAAACGAGGUACGUACCUGUUGUCUGAAUCCAUCCUCGGGGAGAACGUUUUGGUCAUUAAGUUGACUGGAUCGGGAUCCUCGUCAUUUACUGUGAGCAAAAUAGAGUGUUCAAAGCAGGCUUAUGCCGUUGAAUACAUUAGCAUGGAAUAAUAAGAUAAGACCUUGGUCUAUUUUGUUGGUUUGUACUCCAAGGUAAUGAUUAAUAGGGAUAGUUGGGGGUAUUCGUAUUCAAUUGUCAGAGGUGAAAUUCUUGGAUUUAUGGAAGACGAACUACUGCGAAAGCAUUUACCAAGGAUGUUUUCAUCA